AAAAAAUCUUCUAGGAGCAGCUAACAAGAAUCCUAAUACAGGAGUGUUUAUGGUUGGGUUGAGACACAUUCAGUAGCUGAGUGAUUGACAGCAAGAGGAGCAAGACAUGAGGUUAAUAAUUAUCAAAUAUAUGGCAAUGCUGGACUUUAGCUGAUCAUCGUGCUUCUGGAAAACAACAAAAAUUGAGAUAUCUGUUCACCACUUUGUGUGUCCAAGGACCACCUACUUUUUACAUGUGACAAGAACUACCCACCUCCACUCUUCAGGAUAGAACAUGCUGAAGAAAAGAGUUGCAAUGAGAAAAUAUAUGGGAACAAAAUACCUAUGCAAUGCAGAAGUCUGCAUAACUGAACCACUCAGAGGAAAAAGUUUCCCUCCCAGGCUGGAGUACAAUGGCGCGACCUCGGCUCACUGCAACUUCCACCUCCCAGUUCAAGCAAUUCUCCCACCUCAGCUUCCUUAGUAGCUGGGAUUACAAGUGCCUGACACCAGGCCAAGCUAUUUUUGUAUUUUUAGUAGAGACGGGGUUUCACCAUUUUGACCAGGCUGGUCUCAAACUCCUGACCUCAGUCCAUCGGUCCACCUCGGCCUCCCAAAGUGCUGGGAUUGCAGGCAUGAGCCACCGCUCCUGGCCUCAAGUUUAAUUCUUAAAUUGCCAUUUCAGGACACCUCCUACAUCUGAGGAAAUAUGCAUUGAUCUUGCAGUACUUUUCUCCUCCAAAUAAAAGUCAGUAUGAUAACAACUACACUAUCAGAACUUAUCAAGGGAACUAAACAGGUGGCUUUACAAGAAGAGUAAGAGA
rnacentral:lncRNA from 1 species